AACCGUUGAUUUGGAGCUUGAACGUUGAGGAUUUGAUGAUAGGAACUUCAAGCAAGGGGUUCGGCCAUAAACAACCCAUCAUGCCCAAGAUACGACGAAAUAUCGAGCUACGGACUUGGCUCUAAGGAAGUUCGACGAGGAUCGACAUUUUAUUUAUUAUUAUUAUUUUGGAUUACUAGCGAUUCAGGUAAUCAGAGUCGGAUCAGACAAACCAUCUUUGUUGUGCCAGAAGUCGAUUGACUUUCACAAGUAUGAGUUCUUAGAGCUGCAGUAGUCAGUAGUUGUCAGUGUUAGGUAUACGCUUUAACUUUAAAUGAUAUUUUAUAUUGUAAACUCUGAUAUGAUACUUUAAUAUCUAUAAGUGUAUUAUUUAAAAGAGUUCUUCCGAAAAUAUUUUAAUAUAUAUCAUAUAUUAUACUUUUA